AGUGAACGCUGGCGGUAGGCCUAACACAUGCAAGUCGAACGGCAGCACAGUAAGAGCUUGCUCUUACGGGUGGCGAGUGGCGGACGGGUGAGGAAUACAUCGGAAUCUACUUUUUCGUGGGGGAUAACGUAGGGAAACUUACGCUAAUACCGCAUACGACCUACGGGUGAAAGCAGGGGAUCUUCGGACCUUGCGCGAUUGAAUGAGCCGAUGUCAGAUUAGCUAGUUGGCGGGGUAAAGGCCCACCAAGGCGACGAUCCGUAGCUGGUCUGAGAGGAUGAUCAGCCACACUGGAACUGAGACACGGUCCAGACUCCUACGGGAAGCAGCAGUGGGGAAUAUUGGACAAUGGGCGCAAGCCUGAUCCAGCCAUACCGCGUGGGUGAAGAAGGCCUUCGGGUUGUAAAGCCCUUUUGUUGGGAAAGAAAAGCAGCAGGUUAAUACCCCGCUGUUCUGACGGUACCCAAAGAAUAAGCACCGGCUAACUUCGUG
rnacentral:rRNA from 1 species